rnacentral:rRNA from 1 species
AGAGUUUGAUCAUGGCUCAGGAUGAACGCUAGCGGCAGGCUUAACACAUGCAAGUCGAGGGGUAUAGGAAGCUUGCUUCCUAGAGACCGGCGCACGGGUGCGUAACGCGUAUGCAAUCUACCUUGUACAGGGGGAUAGCCCAGAGAAAUUUGGAUUAAUACCCCAUGGUAUAAUUGAGUGGCAUCACUUAAUUAUUAAAGUUCCAACGGUACAAGAUGAGCAUGCGUCCUAUUAGCUAGUUGGUGUGGUAACGGCAUACCAAGGCUACGAUAGGUAGGGGUCCUGAGAGGGAGAUCCCCCACACUGGUACUGAGACACGGACCAGACUCCUACGGGAGGCAGCAGUGAGGAAUAUUGGACAAUGGGCGCAAGCCUGAUCCAGCCAUGCCGCGUGCAGGAAGAAGCAUCUAUGGUGUGUAAACUGCUUUUGUACGGGAAGAAACACCUCUACGUGUAGAGGCUUGACGGUACCGUAAGAAUAAGGAUCGGCUAACUCCGUGCCAGCAGCCGCGGUAAUACGGAGGAUCCAAGCGUUAUCCGGAAUCAUUGGGUUUAAAGGGUCCGUAGGCGGUCUAAUAAGUCAGUGGUGAAAGCCCAUCGCUUAACGAUGGAACGGCCAUUGAUACUGUUAGACUUGAAUUAUUGGGAAGUAACUAGAAUAUGUAGUGUAGCGGUGAAAUGCUUAGAUAUUACAUGGAAUACCAAUUGCGAAGGCAGGUUACUAUCAAUAUAUUGACGCUGAUGGACGAAAGCGUGGGGAGCGAACAGGAUUAGAUACCCUAGUAGUCC